rnacentral:rRNA from 1 species
CUCCUGACUGACCGAUAGUGAACCAGUACCGUGAGGGAAAGGCGAAAAGAACCCCGGCGAGGGGAGUGAAAAAGAACCUGAAACCGUGUACGUACAAGCAGUGGGAGCACGCUUAGGCGUGUGACUGCGUACCUUUUGUAUAAUGGGUCAGCGACUUAUAUUCUGUAGCAAGGUUAACCGAAUAGGGGAGCCGAAGGGAAACCGAGUCUUAACUGGGCGUUAAGUUGCAGGGUAUAGACCCGAAACCCGGUGAUCUAGCCAUGGGCAGGUUGAAGGUUGGGUAACACUAACUGGAGGACCGAACCGACUAAUGUUGAAAAAUUAGCGGAUGACUUGUGGCUGGGGGUGAAAGGCCAAUCAAACCGGGAGAUAGCUGGUUCUCCCCGAAAGCUAUUUAGGUAGCGCCUCGUGAAUUCAUCUCCGGGGGUAGAGCACUGUUUCGGCAAGGGGGUCAUCCCGACUUACCAACCCGAUGCAAACUGCGAAUACCGGAGAAUGUUAUCACGGGAGACACACGGCGGGUGCUAACGUCCGUCGUGAAGAGGGAAACAACCCAGACCGCCAGCUAAGGUCCCAAAGUCAUGGUUAAGUGGGAAACGAUGUGGGAAGGCCCAGACAGCCAGGAUGUUGGCUUAGAAGCAGCCAUCAUUUAAAGAAAGCGUAAUAGCUCACUGGUCGAGUCGGCCUGCGCGGAAGAUGUAACGGGGCUAAACCAUGCACCGAAGCUGCGGCAGCGACGCUUAUGCGUUGUUGGGUAGGGGAGCGUUCUGUAAGCCUGCGAAGGUGUGCUGUGAGGCAUGCUGGAGGUAUCAGAAGUGCGAAUGCUGACAUAAGUAACGAUAAAGCGGGUGAAAAGCCCGCUCGCCGGAAGACCAAGGGUUCCUGUCCAACGUUAAUCGGGGCAGGGUGAGUCGACCCCUAAGGCGAGGCCGAAAGGCGUAGUCGAUGGGAAACAGGUUAAUAUUCCUGUACUUGGUGUUACUGCGAAGGGGGGACGGAGAAGGCUAUGUUGGCCGGGCGACGGUUGUCCCGGUUUAAGCGUGUAGGCUGGUUUUCCAGGCAAAUCCGGAAAAUCAAGGCUGAGGCGUGAUGACGAGGCACUACGGUGCUGAAGCAACAAAUGCCCUGCUUCCAGGAAAAGCCUCUAAGCAUCAGGUAACAUCAAAUCGUACCCCAAACCGACACAGGUGGUCAGGUAGAGAAUACCAAGGCGCUUGAGAGAACUCGGGUGAAGGAACUAGGCAAAAUGGUGCCGUAACUUCGGGAGAAGGCACGCUGAUAUGUAGGUGAGGUCCCUCGCGGAUGGAGCUGAAAUCAGUCGAAGAUACCAGCUGGCUGCAACUGUUUAUUAAAAACACAGCACUGUGCAAACACGAAAGUGGACGUAUAGGGUGUGACGCCUGCCCGGUGCUGGAAGGUUAAUUGAUGGGGUUAGCGCAAGCGAAGCUCUUGAUCGAAGCCCCAGUAAACGGCGGCCGUAACUAUAACGGUCCUAAGGUAGCGAAAUUCCUUGUCGG